UACGAAGGGGGCUAGCGUUGUUCGGAAUUACUGGGCGUAAAGCGCACGUAGGCGGAUUCGUAAGUCAGGGGUGAAAUCCCGGGGCUCAACCUCGGAACUGCCUUUGAUACUGCGGGUCUGAGUCCGAUAGAGGUGGGUGGAAUUCCUAGUGUAGAGGUGAAAUUCGUAGAUAUUAGGAAGAACACCGGUGGCGAAGGCGGC
rnacentral:rRNA from 1 species